UUAUUGGAGAGUUUGAUCCUGGCUCAGGACGAACGCUGGCGGCGUGCCUAAUACAUGCAAGUCGAGCGGAUCUUCAUUAGCUUGCUUUUGAAGAUCAGCGGCGGACGGGUGAGUAACACGUGGGCAACCUGCCUGUAAGACUGGGAUAACUUCGGGAAACCGGAGCUAAUACCGGAUAAUCCUUUCCCUCACAUGAGGGAAA
rnacentral:ncRNA from 1 species